UACGUAGGGGACGAGCGUUACUCGGAUUUACUGGGCGUAAAGCGAGUGUAGGCGGUUAAAUAAGUUAGGGGUGAAAUUCCUUGGCUCAACCAAGGGACUGCCUUUAAAACUGUUUAACUAGAGGACAGGAGAGGAAAGUGGAAUUCCCGGUGUAGCGGUGGAAUGCGUAGAUAUCGGGAAGAACACCAGAAGCGAAGGCGGCUUUCUGGACUGUUCCUGACGCUGAGAUUCGAAAGCUAGGGUAGCAAACAGGAUUAGAUACCCUUGUA
rnacentral:rRNA from 1 species